rnacentral:rRNA from 1 species
GAUGAACGCUGGCGGCGUGCCUAAUACAUGCAAGUCGAGCGAACAGACGAGGAGCUUGCUCCUUUGACGUUAGCGGCGGACGGGUGAGUAACACGUAGGUAACCUACCUAUAAGACUGGGAUAACUUCGGGAAACCGGAGCUAAUACCGGAUAAUAUUUCGAACUGCAUGGUUCGAUAGUUAAAGAUGGCUUUGCUAUCACUUAUAGAUGGACCUGCGCCGUAUUAGCUAGUUGGUAAGGUAACGGCUUACCAAGGCAACAAUACGUAUCCGACCUGAGGGGGGGAUCGGGAAAACUGGAACUGAGAAAAGGACAAGACACGUAGGGGAGGAAGCAGGAGGGAAUCUUCCGCAAUGGGCGAAAGCGUGAAGGAGCAAAGCAGGGGGAGUGAUGAAGGGCUUCGGAUCGUAAAACUCUGUUAUUAGGGAAGAAAAAACGUGUAAGUAACGGUGAACGUAUUGACGGUACCUAAGCAGAAAGCCACGGCUAACUACGU